rnacentral:rRNA from 1 species
UACGUAGGGGGCAAGCGUUGUCCGGAUUUAUUGGGCGUAAAGAGCGUGUAGGCGGCCAGAUAAGUCUGCUGUGAAAACUCGAGGCUCAACCUCGAGCUGUCGGCGGAAACUAUUUGGCUAGAGUCCGGAAGAGGCGAGUGGAAUUCCUGGUGUAGCGGUGAAAUGCGCAGAUAUCAGGAGGAACACCAAUGGCGAAGGCAGCUCGCUGGGACGGUAUUGACGCUGAGACGCGAAAGCGUGGGGAGCAAACAGG